GUCCUUCCACUGGCUGCCCACCUGCGCCGCCACCAGCUUGAGGAUGUCGAUGCCUGCGGGGCAGAGGAGCCACAGCACAGGAAGACCAUGGGUACUCAGCCACCACUGGGCAGAAGAGCACGUGCUCACCAACAUGCCUGCACUUCAGCCACUGCCUUGAGAGAGAGCUGGAUUAAGAGGCCACAGGAACAGCCUGGCAGAGCUGUCACCAUCCUGCUGCUAAAGUGGGAGACAGCUCCACCCCUCUUCAUCAUCAUGUCAGGAACCAACCCCACUGAUCACUCAGCUUUGCUUAUGCCUCAGACAAUGGAAUUAAAGAGGAACACCACGGCUACAUCUGGCUGAGUGUUUUCUGUGUUUUCCAUGGUCAGCCCAGAACAGGCAAGGACAGAUCUGAAGGAUCCAGGAUAUCCACCUGUGUCUUAGGGACCUGAGCAGGUGGCAUUUCAAUUGCC